rnacentral:rRNA from 1 species
ACGGAGAUAUUCGCUGAUGAAGUACUUCGGUAAUGAUUCUUGAAUAUCUUAGUGGCGGACGGGUGAGUAACGCGUGAGCAACCUGCCUUUCAGAGGGGGAUAACGUUCGGAAACGAACGCUAAUACCGCAUGACAUUGUUGAGUCGCAUGACAUGACAAUCAAAGGAGCAAUCCGCUGAAAGAUGGGCUCGCGUCCGAUUAGGUAGUUGGUGGGGCAACGGCCCACCAAGCCGACGAUCGGUAGCCGGACUGAGAGGUUGAACGGCCACAUUGGGACUGAGACACGGCCCAGACUCCUACGGGAGGCAGCAGUGAGGGAUAUUGGUCAAUGGGGGAAACCCUGAACCAGCAACGCCGCGUGAGGGAAGACGGUUUUCGGAUUGUAAACCUCUGUCCUCUGUGAAGAUAAUGACGGUAGCAGAGGAGGAAGCUCCGGCUAACUACGUGCCAGCAGCCGCGGUAAUACGUAGGGAGCAAGCGUUGUCCGGAUUUACUGGGUGUAAAGGGUGCGUAGGCGGCUUUGCAAGUCAGAAGUGAAAUCCAUGGGCUUAACCCA